AAAUAGCCCCGAUAGUAAUGAAAAUCCUUUUUGUUGCCUUUUUUGGCGGGCAAAAAGAUUGAAGUGAAUAGCGGGACAAAUG
rnacentral:sRNA from 1 species